rnacentral:rRNA from 1 species
AGUGAACGCUGGCGGUAGGCCUAACACAUGCAAGUCGAACGGCAGCACAGGAGAGCUUGCUCUCUGGGUGGCGAGUGGCGGACGGGUGAGGAAUACAUCGGAAUCUACUCUGUCGUGGGGGAUAACGUAGGGAAACUUACGCUAAUACCGCAUACGACCUACGGGUGAAAGCAGGGGACCUUCGGGCCUUGCGCGAUUGAAUGAGCCGAUGUCGGAUUAGCUAGCUGGCGGGGUAAAGGCCCACCAAGGCGACGAUCCGUAGCUGGUCUGAGAGGAUGAUCAGCCACACUGGAACUGAGACACGGUCCAGACUCCUACGGGAGGCAGCAGUGGGGAAUAUUGGACAGUGGGCGCAAGCCUGAUCCAGCCAUACCGCGUGGGUGAAGAAGGCCUUCGGGUUGUAAAGCCCUUUUGUUGGGAAAGAAAUCCAGCUGGCUAAUACCCGGUUGGGAUGACGGUACCCAAAGAAUAAGCACCGGCUAACUUCGUGCCAGCCGCCGCAGUAA